GGGUUGUGAGGUUAAGCGGCUAAGCGUACACGGUGGAUGCCCUGGCAGUCAGAGGCGAUGAAGGACGUGCUAAUCUGCGAUAAGCGUCGGUAAGGUGAUAUGAACCGUUAUAACCGGCGAUUUCCGAAUGGGGAAACCCAGUGUGUUUCGACACACUAUCAUUAACUGAAUCCAUAGGUUAAUGAGGCGAACCGGGGGAACUGAAACAUCUAAGUACCCCGAGGAAAAGAAAUCAACCGAGAUUCCCCCAGUAGCGGCGAGCGAACGGGGAGCAGCCCAGAG
rnacentral:rRNA from 1 species